GACGAACGCUGGCGGCGUGCUUAACACAUGCAAGUCGAACGGAAAGGCCCUGCUUUUGUGGGGUGCUCGAGUGGCGAACGGGUGAGUAACACGUGAGUAACCUGCCCUUGACUUUGGGAUAACUUCAGGAAACUGGGGCUAAUACCGGAUAGGAGCUCCUGCUGCAUGGUGGGGGUUGGAAAGUUUCGGCGGUUGGGGAUGGACUCGCGGCUUAUCAGCUUGUUGGUGGGGUAGUGGCUUACCAAGGCUUUGACGGGUAGCCGGGCUGAGCGGGUAACCGGCCAAAUCACAACGGGAAUGCGACACAGACUCCUACGGGACGCAGCGGAGGAGAAUAUUACACUAUGGGCGGAGGCCUGAUGCAGCAACGCCGCGUGGGGGAUGACAGCCAUCGGGUUGUGAUCCACUUUCGCCUGUGACGAGGCGUGAAUGACGGUAAUGGGUGAAGAAGCACCGGCUAGCUACGUG
rnacentral:rRNA from 1 species